UUUUUUCUCCGCUUAUUUCCACUUCUCUUCUCUCAAACACAAAUUGUGAAUUUUUUUGUCUUCAUCCGUCAAACUCAGUUCACCGUUGUUACUCCCCCAAUAUCUCAAACCGGGUCUCGGCCAUCCUCUCCGAGAACCACGUCUCUGUCUCAUACGGUGACGACGGUUACUCUCCUUCUUGCUUCUCAACAAGGGUUAGUUUCGUUCUUCCUUUUGCUCAAAUUAUCCAUGUUCCCAAUAUUUUUCAUACCCAUUACUUUGGCUGAUAUAGUGUAUCUUGGGAUGAGAUGAUUGUUAUAUUUGGGUUCAGCUUAAGCUGAGUAAAUUUCAUGUUAAGUAUAUUUAGGUUUACCAUUCUUGACUGUUAAGGCACUGUUAAGGCUUUUGUUUUAUGUAAUUUGCAUGCCAUGUGUUUGAAGAAAUGCGUGUGUUAAGGUUUGUUGAAUAUAUGUGGGUUUAUAUGUUGGAAUUAACUUAAUAUUACAAGACAUGAUCAAAUAUUAAAUGAUUGAAACCAUAAUCAUACUUUAUUGCGGAAGCAAAACAAUCAAACGAGCAUGUUCAUAAAUCAGGAUCUACGACAUGUUGAUUUAUCAAGGGAUUAUAGGAAUACACGAAUCCACAAAUGAACUGACCUGAAACACAAAUUAGCAGAAUCGGAUGACGAGCACCCGUUGGCUUGUGGUUCUUCCUCAACCAGGACUCCUUAUGCCCUAAGCGCUCUUCAGAUGGGGAGAAAAGGCAAUAUGCUUUGUGUCCGGUAU
rnacentral:lncRNA from 1 species